rnacentral:rRNA from 1 species
GUCGCUGGCCUCGCUCGCGCGAGGCAUGUGCACGCUUCGCGUUUUUCUGAUAACCAACCUGUGAACCUAAUGUAGGAUGCCUCUCCUCCGGGAGGGGGGACCUAUGUCUUCGUAAAAUCUUCGUGUAGAAAGUCUUUGAAUGUUUACUAUCAUCGAGUCGCGACUUCUAGGAGACGCGAUUCUUUGAGAUAAAAGUUAUUACAACUUUCAGCAACGGAUCUCUUGGCUCUCGCAUCGAUGAAGAACGCAGCGAAAAGCGAUAUGUAAUGUGAAUUGCAGAUCUACAGUGAAUCAUCGAAUCUUUGAACGCACCUUGCGCUCCUCGGUGUUCCGAGGAGCAUGCCUGUUUGAGUGUCAGUAAAUUCUCAACCUCUCUCGAUUGACUUCGAGAGGGUGCUUGGAUAGUGGAGGUUGCCGGGAGACUUGGAUUCGUCCGAGAUUCGGGCUCUUCUGAAAUGCAUCGGCUUGCGGGCGACUUUCGACUAUGNGCGACAAGGCUUUCGGCGUGAUAAUGAUCGCCGUUCGCCGAAGCGCAUGACAGAAGGUUUCCGUGCCUCUAAUNCGUCGACCGCUUACUAUCUCUCCGGAGAGAACAGGGUCUUCCUAAUUGACUUUUGACCUCAAAUCAGGUAGGACUACCCGCUG